rnacentral:lncRNA from 1 species
GCAGGAGAGAUGAGACAUCAGAGUUACAAGCACUGAACACCAUUACCAUCUAUUCUGCCUGGCUUAAGGGAUGACCCAACAACGAUCUGGUCCAUGAGCCUCUGAGCUUCAUUGCCUGGGAAAGAUGGGCAGUCCCCCUUCAUCAGUCACUUAAAACUGUUACGGUGCAAGGGAAAUUAAAAAGAUGACUGAAGAGGUGGCCUGCUUGCUUAGAGAAGUCUCUCAAAUGUAGACAUCCAAGACGUACCUCCAG